rnacentral:rRNA from 1 species
GAUGAACGCUGACAGAAUGCUUAACACAUCAGCAAUUGAUUGGUGGCGGACGGGUGAGUAACGCGUAAAGAACUUGCCUCACAGGUAGGGACAACAUUUGGAAACGAAUGCUAAUACCUAAUACUGUGAGCGAGCUUUGCGUCCCAUUAGCUAGGUGGAGAGGUAACGGCUCACCAAGGCGAUGAUGGGUAGCCGGCCUGAGAGGGUGAUAGGCCACAAGGGGACUGAGACAUGGCCAUGACUCCUACGGGAGGCAGCAGUGGGGAAUAGUGGACAAUGGACAAAAGUCUGAUCCAGCAAUUCAGGGGGCAGGAUGAAGGUUUCGGAAGGUAAAGUGCAUUCAGUUUGGAAGGGGUACCAACAGAAGAAGUGACGGCUAAAUACGUGCCAGCAGCCGCGGUAAUAC